rfam:Novosphingobium sp. Fuku2-ISO-50 genomic scaffold PRJNA299316_s001, whole genome shotgun sequence.
GCCCGGGUAGCUCAGUUGGUAGAGCACGUGACUGAAAAUCACGGUGUCGGCGGUUCGAUUCCGUCCCCGGGCA